GAUGAACGCUGGCGGCGUGCCUAAUACAUGCAAGUCGAGCGAACGGACGAGAAGCUUGCUUCUCUGAUGUUAGCGGCGGACGGGUGAGUAACACGUGGAUAACCUACCUAUAAGACUGGGAUAACUUCGGGAAACCGGAGCUAAUACCGGAUAAUAUUUUGCACCGCAGGGUUCAAAAGUGAAAGACGGUCUUGCUGUCACUUAUAGAUGGAUCCGCGCUGCAUUAGCUAGUUGUUAAGGUAACGGCUUACCAAGGCAACGAUGCAUAACCGACCUGAGGGGGUGAUCGGCCACACUGGAACUGAGACACGGUCCAGACUCCUACGGGAGGCAGCAGUAGGGAAUCUUCCGCAAUGGGCGAAAGCCUGACGGAGCAACGCCGCGUGAGUGAUGAAGGUCUUCGGAUCGUAAAACUCUGUUAUUAGGGAAGAACAUAUGUGUAAGUAACUGUGCACAUCUUGACGGUACCUAAUCAGAAAGCCACGGCUAACUACGUG
rnacentral:rRNA from 1 species